UACGAAGGGGGGCUAGCGUUGUUCGGAAUUACUGGGCGUAAAGCGCACGUAGGCGGAUAUUUAAGUCAGGGGUGAAAUCCCAGAGCUCCAACUCUGGAACUGCCUUUGAUACUGGGUAUCUUGAGUAUGGAAGAGGUAAGUGGAAUUGCGAGUGUAGAGGUGAAAUUCGUAGAGAUCCGGAGGAACACCAGCGGCGAAGGCGGCAUCCUGGACUGGUCCUGACACUCAGGAGCGAAAGCGUGGGG
rnacentral:rRNA from 1 species